rnacentral:hammerhead_ribozyme from 1 species
GCACUGCUGAAGAGUCCUACAAUAGGACGAAAUGAUCAUUCAGUAC